rnacentral:rRNA from 1 species
UACGUAGGGUGCGAGCGUUAAUCGGAAUUACUGGGCGUAAAGCGUGCGCAGGCGGUGCGCCAAGCUCGAUGUGAAAGCCCCGGGCUUAACCUGGGAAUUGCAUUGAGGACUGGCGUGCUCGAGUGCGGCAGAGGGGGGUGGAAUUCCCAGUGUAGUGGUGAAAUACGUAGAGAUUGGGAAGAACACCAGUGGCGAAGGCGGCUAUCUGGACGGUUUCUGACACUAAGACUCGAAAGCGUGGGGAGCAAACAGG